CCAUUGUUGGCUCCCAGCAACCAGUGCAAGCUGCACAGCCUGCCUGCUUUCCCCAGGCAAGAGGGAAUCACUCCUCUCUCCAUCUCUCUCCUCUUGCAGGACCUCGUCAGAAGUUGCCAUGCCUGGAACCAUAAGAGGGGAAAAGGAUACAAUAAUCAACUGGAGUGAAAUCACCAUCAGACUUAAAAGAUGGCUGCAUCUUCUAAAUUCCUAAUUCCUUGGGACAAGGAAAGAAUUCCUUAGGCACUAUGCAAAGAAAAGAAGUACUUUCAGGGAAAAUGGUACUCUCAGGAGCAGCCCACUAAUCAUCAGACUUCAAGUCAGAGUUGAAAGAAUGCCAGCCUGAGAUGUUAUCCUAGAAGGAAGGGAUACAGAACCCAUAACUGAGACAAGAGACAUUGGAUUGCUGUCUUAAGGAGCAACCCCAAUUCAUUUCAGACAAAGCUCUUCCCAUUCCACAGAUUCCUAUUUUACUCUGGGAGGGGAACACCAGAAAUCAGGAAAUGGCAGCUGCACUUUUUACUACUUGGUCCCAGAUGCCAGUGACUUUUGAGGAUAUGGCCAUUUACCUUUCAAGGGAGGAGUGGAGGCAGCUGGAUCUUGUUCAGAGGGAUUUCUACCGAGAUAUUGUGCAAGAGAAAAAUGUCCUGGCCCUAGAAGCUGUAAAACAUGGAAAAAGUAGGGUUUAUUCCUCCAUUGGAAGGUGCUGGUGAUGCAAAGAUGUAUGGAACUGGAUUGGGAAGAGUCCAUGGGGAUGUCCCACAAGCCAUGGGACAGGAAGACAGGAGGGAGAGCUCAGAGGAAAGUCAGCAGCUUGAUCUCCUGAAGAAGAGCCAGAAGACACUGGUCCUAUUUGAUAAAGAUCUUUAAAAACUGAUGGAUAUUCUUGUUCUGAAGAAACCCUGCAUCCCUGAAAAAUAUUGCCAAAAGAGCAAUGGGGACGGCCCAGCCCUAGGAGGGGAGAAACUUGGACCAGAACCAGAACUCAUUGCUCCCCAGCUUAUCCUUCCCACUAAAAAAACAUACACAUGUGAAGACCCAAAUAUUGGCAAAGGGUUCAGCUGGCACUCUCAUCUGGUGAACCACCAGCGCAUUUAUACAGUCUGUGUUCAGACUGUGGCAAGUGCUUCAGCCGAAGCUCCCACCUCUUCCAGCACUGGAUCAUCCACACUGUCUGCUGGAAAAGCUUUAGCCAUCACUCCACACUGGUACAACACUAGCACAUCCACACUGAGGAGAAGCCUUAUUUGUGUGACCAAUGUGCCAAGUGCUUCACCCGGCGUUCAGACUUGGUGACCCAUCAGGGUACCCACACAAGUGCCAAGCCUCAUUGAUGCCCAGAAUGCAACAAGUGUUUCACCCAGAGCUCAGCCCUCAUCAGUGGACCCAUACGGAAGUCAAGCCCUACCCCUGUCCAGUGUGCGGCAAGCACUUCAGCCAGUGCUCAAACCUCACUGCUCACCAGUGUACCCAUACAGGGGAGAAGGCUUACGCUUGUAGUGAUUGUGGCAAGAGCUUCAGUCAUAGCUCCCACCUCACUGCACACCAGCGAACUCAUCGUGGUGUCUGGCCCUAUCCCUGUCCCCUAUGCCGCAAGAGCUUUAGCCGGCAUUCUAAUCUUCUUCGACAUUAGAAGAUUCACACAGUUCCCAAGGCCUGGCUGUGCUGGUGUUGGAGACAAGGGGGAAUUCUCACCAACCCCAAACCUACUCCUCCCUAACAAACCAAGGUGUGAGAAUGGUGUGAGAAUAUGGACUCCAGAGCAAAUGCUGAUGAGCUUAUUCUCAGGAUAGGUCUAAUCCAAGGGCCAGAGGCAGCGAGAGAGGGAAAAGAUGAGAAAGAGGACAGCCACAUGGAAUCAGAAAGGGAGAGGGGUAGAUCAUUAUGGGGAUCAGGGUGGGAGUUGACAGAGAUGGGCUUGGGAAUAGGAAUGUGAAAGAGGAGCUAGGGCUAGAAAGAGUGGUAAAUCUUCUAAUUAAAAGUCUUUGAGGCAGCUAGGUGGUGCAAUGGAUAGAUGAAGUCAGGAGGACCUGAAUUCAAAUGUGACUCAGGCUCUUAACACUUUCUGGCUGUGUGACCCUGGGCAAGUCAUUUUACCCCAAUUGCCUCAGGAAAAAAAAUUUUAAAUAAUUUUUUAUCUUAAAAAAAAAGCCUUUGAAACCAAUCUAUGACUCCAGCCAAUGUGGUCCCAACCUACUGUUAAGUCUGGAAGAUAAAAGGAUGUACUUUGGGGCUGACAUUGUACUGGGCUGACCUGAAAUCAUGUCUUAUGCAGCCAUCCUCUCUCAAAGUACAGUCACUUUCUUCUUCUCUCUAGACUCUUUCCUUUUUAGCCAAAGGCACAUCUUGGUAAGGCCUCCAUGCAAGACAAGGAAGUCCUGCAAAGAUAGAGAGAAAGAGUCUUUGGGAUAAGAGAUACCAAAUACCAUAGUUAUUCCCCUAAGAUAAAUUCAUCACUAGGAAGAAAUCCUCCCUCCCCCCAAUCAUCACCUACCUGGAUAUUUCUCUGAUCUCUGGAAUUCUCUGAUUAAGGUCUUAUAAAAUAAAAAUGGUCAGGAAGCCAAAUAACUCAGUGUAACUCAACUUCACUUUAAUACUAAAAAUGAGGACAAGGUUUAAGUUUUAACUCUGAAAUGGUAAAUGGCUAUGUGACCCUGAGAGUUAUUCUCUGUGCCUUGGUGAUCAUUCAUCCCAUUUCCCUCACUGACUUUAGCAAAAUCCAGAGACAAGGAGAUAACAGCUCACAUUUUUUAGAUGGCUCUAAGUUUUAUGUCACUUUUUUCAGUCAAGCAAUACAGGAGUUAUUAUCCUUGUCUUGCAGCUGAAGAAAAUGCAGGUUUUAUCCUCAGUCAAAUAGCUAAUAUUACAUUCAGGACUGCAAGAGAAUUUUUCUGACUAACUCCUCUGUUCUGUCCACUGCACUAGAGAACCUCAUGCAGACAUCUCAGAUUUCAGUCUUCCCUUGCACCUUUCCCAGCCUUUUCUUCUCAAUGUGUCUGCCCUCUGGUGUUCAGACGCAGAAUUGCGCUGAGGGUGAAAUUCCGAGGACAGUCUGUACCUUGGACAGCAGCAUUUACUUUACCUGCCCUCGGGCCCAAGAAAAGCGAGUCAUCCUCAGGAUAUGGGGUUUCUGCUUUCUAUUCCCAGUUGUGUUUCCCUGCUUCUGGAGAAUCCCCCAUUCUCAAACGUGAAACCCCCCUCCCCAACAUUUUUUAAUAAUAUAGUGUAGGGAAAAGAGCAUGGAACUUGGUGUUCAAACCAAGCUUAGACUCCUGGCUCUCUUAUUUACUAGGGUCAGAACCUUGGUAAAAUUUUUGUAUUUUUAAACUUAUGUUCCCACAUGUAAAAUGGAGAUAUCAUUUUACUACUUAGACAAUAGAUUUGCUAUUAGGAAAGUAAUAUAUACAUGUAUAUGUGUGUAUUUAUAUGCACAUGUAUGUUACAUAUGACUAUAUAUAUAUAUAUAUAUACACACAUGUGUAUAGGUGGAUAGAUGCUCUUGCUCUCACUCUGUAUUGUUUAGUCCUGUAAUCUCAUCACUGUAGGGAACUCUUAGAGAGGAAACUUCCUUUACUAAUGAAGAUUCACAUUCUAUAAAUCUAGUUUUAGAGAACUGCCCAAAAUACUGAGAGAUUAAGUACUUACUUAUGGUCACACAACUAUUUACAUUUCAAAGAUACAAGUUAAACCUAGUCCUCAUUUUUAUUCUUAAAAUGAAAUUGAGUUAUGCUGAGUUGACAACUCAGCUUCCUGACCAUUUUUAUUUUAUUAAGUUCUUACUUAUUCAGAGAACACCUUGCAAAAUGCCUUGAAUACUUCCCGAAUUUUCCAGGGACAAACAGAACAAGAGAGCCACAAAAAUGGAAGAGGAAAUUUUAAAAUAAUGACAUUAAAAAUAACUAACAUUUAUAUAGUCUUUAUUAUGUCCCAGGCAUAGUGCUAAUAACUUAGAGGCCAUCUGAGAAGAAUGGGUCCGGACUGAGCAGUUCCCAUUCUUCUGUACUGGUGUUGCUAAGCUAACUGCAACUAUUUCCUAGAAAUAGAAUUAUGUGUGCCCUGAAAUACCCCUCAUGUCCCUCAAGGUCUUGGCUCAGAGGAUACAGUACAGCUAGUUCUAAGACAGUCAAGGCAUUGCUAGCUAUACAGCUUUAGGAAAGACACAUUUUCUUUGGACUUCAGCCUGCUCUAUAAAUGAUGAAGGUGGACUAUGUGAUCUCUGAAGUCCUUUCCAGACCUAAUAUCAUAUGUGUAUAUAACAUUUAUAUUUAUUGUUUUAUUGACAUUUAUUUCUUAGUAUUUCUCCCCUCCCACCAAGUCAAUAAGCAUUUAUUUACUUCCUAAGCCAGGCACUAUGCUAAGCACUGGGGAUGAAAAGAAAGUAAAAAUGUUCCUGCUCUCACGGAGUUCAGCAUGUAAUGGGGGAGACAACAUACAAAUAACUAUGUACAGACAAAGUAUCUACAAGAUAAAUUCGAGAUCGUCAUCAGAGGGAAGACAGUAGUGUUAAGGGAGAUAAGUUUCCUGUGGAAGGUAUGAUUUAACCUGGGAGAACAGAGCUCAUGAUAAAUAGGCUGUCUCUUGUCAAAAAGGGAAAAAAAAAUUUAAGCUAAUCCAAACAGUAAAGCAAUAAGAUCUGAGCCCAAAAUUUGUUUCUGUAGUACUUCUGCAAGUAUUUUGAAAAAGAAAGGUGUUUUAGCAUACCAUAUUCUAAAUAUAAAUAUAAAAUUUUAAGUUUUAAUGCCCUUUUCUCUGUAAUCUCUUCCAGCUCUAGCUUUACAUAUAAUGCUAUAUGUCUAUUAGCGUGGUAGCAACCUUAAAAGGAGGCAAACCUGCUCCAAAACUCCCUGAAUGGGACACUCUCCCCUUAGCCAUGUAUAUAGCUACCUACAAGAUGACACUGCUAUCUAUUCUGCCAUCCUAUUCUGUUCCUAUCUCUAUUUCUAUCAGCUAGGUGUUGUAAUGGAUAGAAUCAAGAUGACCUAAAUCCAAGUAUGAUCUCAAACAUUUAUUAGUUGUGUGAUUCUAAACAAGACAUUUAACCUCUGUCUACCUUAGUUUCCUUAAGUAUAAAAUGGGGAUAAUAAUGGCACUCACCUCAUAAGGUUAUAAAUGUAUAUAUAUGUAUAUAUAUAUAUACAUAUAUGUAUAAAUAUAUAUACAUAUAUAUAUAUAUAUAUAUAUAUAUAAAUAAAAUGAGAACUGGACAAGAUGGUCUUUGAAGUUAAUAGCAGUGAUGGAAUUAUGAUCCUAUGAAUAAGGCAGGUUCUUGUCCACCAUGUUGUACUUUCUUUCCAAGAAGUAAAUGUGAAGUUCAAAGAAAAAAAAGUGUAUAAAAUGCUUUUUAUGUGCAUAAAAAUGUGUAUAAAGCCUUAACAUGUUCUAUAAGUCCUAAUGAUAAUUAUUAUAAUUAAUCAUAUAAUAUUAUAAUUAUUACAUGUCAUUAAUAUGUUAUUACAUAUAGUUAUAAUUAAUAAUGAUAAUCCUCACUUUAGUCAAUUCCCCACUGUGGAUCUGAAUUUUUUCUUUCCCUUGGGAUUUCUACUUUCUAAUAUUUAUCAUAAGAAGAAAUAAAGACAUUUCUAAAGAUUGCCUUCCAACUUCUUUUCUUCCUCAGACUUGAUCUCUCUAGGCUCCAGUCUACUUGGUAGCAUGGUGUAAUCAGAUUUCAAGGUCAGCUGCUUUCAUGGGAUAUUAUAUAAUGGAUAAAAUACUUGGAAUCAUACUAAAGUAGGAUAUGGGAUCCAGAGCUAUAAGGAAUCUUAGAAACA
rnacentral:lncRNA from 1 species